rnacentral:lncRNA from 1 species
UAUAGGAUGACUUCAUUUGGUUACCGGAAAGUUUUCGGGCAUUACCGGGAAUGUACCGGGAGUGACGAAUGGGUUCCGGAAGUUCGCCGGGAGGGGGCAACCCUCCCGGAGGAAGCCCAAAGGACUUAUGGGUGGAGCACCAGCCCUUAGUGGGCUGGUGGGACAACCAAAUAAGGCCUAUGCGCCAUAAGAUAAAAACCAAA